UUUGUCCUACGGGGCGCAGCAGUGGGGGAUAUUGCACAAUGGGGGAAACCCUGAUGCAGCGACGCCGCGUGAGUGAAGAAGUAUUUCGGUACGUAAAGCUCUAUCAGCAGGGAAGAAUAAUGACGGUACCUGACUAAGAAGCCCCGGCUAACUACGUGCCAGCAGCAGCGGUAAUACGUAGGGGGCAAGCGUUAUCCGGAUUUGCUGGGUGUAAAGGGAGCGUAGACGGCUGUGCAAGUCUGAAGUGAAAGCCCGAGGCUCAACCACGGGAAUGCUUUUG
rnacentral:rRNA from 1 species